CAUGCCCAGCUAAUUGUUGUAUUUUUAGUAGAGACGAGGUUUCACCACGUUGACCUGGCUGGUCUUGAAUUCCUGACCUCAGGUGAUCCACCCGCCUGCUUCUUAAUUUUCAAAUUUUCCUAAGAAUCACACCGCAGCAUUUCCUCCAGGCCUUAAAGUCUUUUGUAUGUCUCAACCUGUAAUUGCUUGCCCCACAGGUCUGUGGGUCUUUAGUCUCCCUUGCAGUAUUUACAAGCGUUGCCCACUCCUGUUCCUGCUGGAGUCCUGAGCUAGGUGAAACACAUGUGAACAACUCACAUCAGUCCUUCAGGUAUCCCUCUGACAAGUUACAAUAAACGUACACAAUAAUUUGAAAAUAAGGUUUUCUCUGCUCCCUCUGGCUCGAGAGGGAACUGGGAACUGGCCUGCUGCUGCUUCAAGACCUAGACGGCUGCCUUGCUGGGGAAGGGCUGGGAAAAGGGUCUGUUUUUAUUUCUGGAUGGGUUCAGACUUCUCUUUGCCUUCCUUCAUCACAGCAAAAUCUCUUUGGCAGUUCUGGGUCCCACACCUGAACCCUACAGCAUCCAGAGGAAGAAAUUCUCCAUGUUCCUAGUCUGUCAUCCAAACCCAGGGGAUUAACCCUCAUUCAGCGGUGCUUACACCUGGGUCUGUGACUUCAAAAGAUCUGUAAAUUGUCUUAAUUUAAUUUAAUGUAACUUAAUUUAGGAGAGCUAAGUAAUUAAACAUGAGGCCAAAGUACAUAA